GUAUCCCAAAAACCGGAUUAUUGCCCACAAAAAAAAGCUAACUGGCUUAUGAAUGAAGUUAGCCCUAUCAACGGACAAUUUAGAGAUUUAUCAAUUCUCCAUUUAACCUUGUGUAUGGUGACCCUGAUAACUCUUGAUUUAUUCAAGUUCAUUCCAGUUAAAAAUGUUAUUCAUCUUGUCAAAUCUUCUUCCAUUUGUGAUUCUCGGCCUUCUCCCUGUUAAUCUUUAAGAUUGGGUUUACCAGCCUUUUUCAUCUCUUUUAAGUUCUAAUAAUCAUGUGAACCUGUAACUCAUUUCUUCGGGCAAAGGCGUCUGCGGUAAAUUGAUUAUCUUGGUGUAUUACAAAACGGUUUAAUCAGAUACAUCUUGUUACUUAAUUUAGGGUCAACCAAGAAAGUCACCCUUCUUGUAAUUAAUCUUUAGAAGGAUUAUUUGAUAACCUGUCACUCAAUUGAGAAAUAUGAUUUAGGUUAUUUACCGUAAAGCCUUUUCUUUGCUUUGUGUGACAUUAUUACGAUUAUUAUUGAUGGACAGUUUGGGUUUGGAGGUGAUUAUAUUCAGCAUCACCCAAUUAUUUGCCGAACCCGAUGAAGUUAACUGAAAAACAUUAAAAUAAGGAAAAGGUUGAAUGUACUCUGAAGCAUCUCUUUGGUAUUACCCUGAAAAAUGGCCUGGAGGCUGAAUAAGCAAAAUAAACCAAUCAAAUGGCCAACUGUUUAGUUAUUUUCUUAUGAUUGUUGGAGAUCAUGGUUCUUGGUUGGAGUUAAUCACGCAAAUUUGGCAAGUUAGUGAGAAAGAUUAGAAAUCGAAAGUUACAAGCACAGUGGGACCAACCACAACCUGUCCGGACAAGCAAGAACCAGGACUGAAUUAUUAUUUAGACUACUAAUCAACAUCGUUCACAGUUAGACAAAGAAAUGGUCAAAAUUAAAAGCAGCCUAUCAAAUAUCAGCUCAUGGAUUUAAUCUCAUAAUCUCACCUAAAUUAGGUUAAAUAAAUCACCAAAAUGGUCUCACAUUGAUAUUACUAAGGCACUAGAAUCAGUAUUAACCAGUUAAAUCUUUGACCAGAAGCAAAGCUGACUCAACUCUUUACACUUUUACCUAUGCCAAUCAAACCAUAAUUAUACAAUUAAUACAUAAGGAGUUGAACCAAUGUCGUUUAGUGUCGAUCGCUCAUGAAUGAAGCAAAAUGUGACCAAAAAUGAACGCGUGGUUGGAUUAUGAUCGAGAGUUGGUUAUUAAGUGAUUCGAUGAUUUUUUGUAUUGAGUUUACACCAAUUUGUCAAUUCGUGCUCCAUUGAUUCUGACAAGAAUUAGAAUCAAAAUGCCAAAUUUUUCCAGAAAUUACAAAAUCAGUCAAUUUUACUCAAUAAGGUGAUUGAUCCUCUGUAAACCUGUUGAUCUUGCAUCCACAUCUUCCUUCAAACUCCUAACCCGUUAGAAGCAUUGUUGAGCUUUCAAUAGGAUGAAUCCCAAGGAGAACAGAGAUUUGAGCAAAUCUGGGAUUUUUGUUAUGCUUCUGAACUUUUUUGAUCAAUGAAAUCUGGCAAGUAAAAAAGUUACAUUUACAACGAAACCAUAACAACAAAUAAAAAUUACCUUAUAUUAAUAUUUCUAUGUACAACAAUAGCAAAGCCUAUGAUUUGAAAAAUCAUCGAAACUUCAACCAGGAUUAACUCUUGAUACAAAAUUAGUCUUUCAACGAAAAGCAGGACAAUCAAAUUUAAUGGUACCGAUGCAAAGACACCAUUGAAACCUGUUAUUACAGUAAUCCCUCUCAAAAUGCGACUCUUUCGUGUAAUUGUCUAUUUUCAAGGCAAAUUGUUUAGACGCUGUUUCGUUCGUUUUUCACAUGUUUUUUCACGAUUUCAUGAAUUUCUUAGUAAUUAUGUUUGUUUUAAUGUUUGAUUUAAGAUCUCUUUGAAUUAAAUUAAAUUAUUUUUAGAAAUUUUUAAAAUAAAAAUUAUUUUUCGGCCGUAUGAAUAGACCGUUUCCCUGGUAACGUCGCACUUUGAGAGGGAUUACUGUAUCUGAAGACGACUGGCAAUAUUCAAGGCUUCUUGGACACAAAUAAUCUCAAAAGUCCAGGAAUAACUAAUAUGGACGAUGGAAAUGUUAAGAUUCAAUAGUUUCAAAUGUUAUCAUCAUCUGAUGUUACAAGCAAAAUCAGUUUUAAUUUCUGUUGGCAAAAGUCAACCACAGCAACCAUUACUUGAUGAUUUUAUGUUAAUUACUUUGCAGAUUCAAGUUCAUUGAUUUUAUGGUAAAAGGUUAAAUGUUAAACUUCAUUGGCAAUGAGUAGUGCUAUUGGAUUGGAAGACAAUUGAAUUGACUUGGAUUGAUUUUUGCCUGAGCUUAAUCUUAAUCUACUUCCUUGAAUAAACAGUUGCCUUAAAAAACUGAGAUUUGAUUGAAAAUCAUGAAAAAAACACAUUCUAAGCUCUGAAAUAUCUUUAGCCUUUCAAGGAUGAAAGGUAAAAAGAGAUUUGAUAUUUUUUGUACCUUUCAGUAAAAGUCAAUUUCAUUGCAAGUCCA